rnacentral:rRNA from 1 species
UUAGAGUUUGAUCCUGGCUCAGGAUGAACGCUAGCGGGGGGCCUAACACAUGCAAGUCAAACCCGAGUAAUCGGGUGGCAAACGAGUGAGUAACACGUACCUAACCUGCCCUGAAGUGGGGGAUAACAUCGGAAACGGUGAUAAUCCCGCAUAAUCCCUACGGGGGAAAGAUUUAUCGCUUUAGGAGGGGGGUGCGACUUAUUAGCUAGUUGGUAAGGUAGUGGCUUACCAAGGCUUUGAUGAGUAGCUGGUCUGAGAGGAUGAUCAGCCACGAUGGAACUGAGACACGGUCCAUACCCCUACGGGGGGCAGCAGUGGGGAAUCUUGCGCAAUGGACGAAAGUCUGACGCAGCCACCCCGCGUGGAGGAUGACGCAUUACGGUGUGUAAACUCCUUUUCUGGAGGAAGACGACUGACGGUACUCCAGGAAUAAGCGACGGCUAACUACGUGCCAGCAGCCGCGGUAAUACGUAGGUCGCAAGCGUUAUCCGGAUUUACUGGGCGUAAAGCGUCCGCAGCUGGUUUGGUAAGUUCGCUUUUAAAUAUCCUGGCUCAACCAGGAAAAGGGAGCGAAUACUGUCAUUCUAGAGUUAGAUAGGGGGUAGUAGAAUUUCAGGUGGAGGGGUGAAAUCCGUUGAUAUCUGAAGGAAUACCAAAAGCGAAGGCAGCUACCUAUAUCUAUACUGACGGUCAUGGACGAAAGUCUGGGUAGCGAACGGGAUUAGAUACCCCGGUAGUCCAGACUGUAAAUGAUGCUCGCUAGAUGUUUCUCUGCUUCGGUGGGGGAGUGUCGUAAGCUAACGCGUUAAGCGAGUCGCCUGAGUAGUAUAGUCGCAAGGCUGAAACUCAAAGGGAUAGGCGGGGGAACACACAAGCAGUGGAUUGCCUCGAUUAAUUGGAUAAUAAGCCAAGAAUCUUACCUAGGCUUGACAUCCCGAGAACCUUUCCGAAAGGAGAGGGUGCCUCGCAAGAGGAACUCGGUGACAGGUGCUGCAUGGCCGUCGUCAGCUCGUGCCGCAAGGUGUCCGGUUAAGUCCGGGAACGAGCGCAACCCUCGUCGCUAGUUAGUAUGUCUAGCGAGACUGCCUCGGUAACGAGGAGGAAGGAGAGGAUGACGUCAGGUCACUAUGGCCCUUACGUCUAGGGCGUCAGAGGCAAUACAAUGGGUGGUACAGCAGGUAGCGAAGCCGUGAGGUGGAGCCAAUCUUUAAAACCAUCCCCAGUGCAGAUCGAAGUCUGGAACUCGACUUCGUGAAGUUGGAAUUGCUAGUAAUGGCAGGUCAGCCAUACUGCCGUGAAUAUGUCCCUGUUCCUUGCACUCACCGCCCGUCAUACCAUGGGAGCUGGAGUUCUCUGAAGACGUGCCACGCAUGUUGAGGAGAAAGCUAGUGACUGGGGUAAAGUCGUAACAAGGUAACC